CGCGCUGCCGGGGGAAGGGGAGUUCCUCGCUCUCCCUCAGCCUCUUAGAGCUUCUCAGAAUGACUUAGAUGAUUUCUCUUGCUGUGAUUUGGACCUUCGAAGAACGGUCCUUCGUCGUGAGGCACUGCUACCAGGCUGAUCCGUUCGAGGUUGGCCCUGAAAUGGCGGCUGCAGCCACUUUUUAAACUGCCGCCGGCACUCCUCGCUCUGCCCAUGCGUGUCAGAGCCGCCGCGCUGCCGAGGGUAGGGGGGCAGCCUCACUCUUCCUCAGCUUCUUACAGCUUCUUAGACGCGGUUUUUGCCGUGAUUUGGAGCCACUAAGAAUGGUCCUUCAUUGUGAGCCUCCGCUGCCAAGCUGAUCUCCUUGGAGAAGGUGCUACUGAACAUAUUUCUACCGACCAGACACAAAAGGCAGCUGUGGGAAAGAGUGAUAAAUAACGGCUUGAAAAAAGCCAUAUUUAAAGCAGAACUAUUCUUAGAUGUUGAUCUGUGUUAUAGACACACAAAAAGGAAACUGUUACAAGAGGAGUACUGAUGUUAACAAUACCAUCCAUUUUAUCUAAGUGAGAGAAUUACAUACUUUGAAAGACAAGAAACAGAAGAAUGCAGAAACAGCCUGAGCCUACACAAUGCUCAGAAAUGUGUCUGAUUCAUCAAGCUGCACCCCAGGAUUCAUCUCGAUGGUGAAGGUGCUUUUGGAGGGGGUGGUCAGCUUGAUCUUGCACGAGUUGUGGGAGGGCAGCCGCUCCAGGUGAGAGUCAGUCAACUAAGUAGACACUUCCAGGCUGCUUUCAGUUGAUUCUGGAGCCAGCGCAUGCUUUUCCCCACAUGCAGAUAGGAGCCCGUGCAGAAGGUGUUGAGCAAGCUGGGUUCCUGUUUUUCUCUCAGCUCCUCCUGAGUGUGGUGGAGAAAGCAGAUCAUGUCCCCCAGCGGCUGCUCCCUCACACAGGUGCACUCCAGCUGCACGCAGACAGGACUUCCUUGUUGAUGUCUCCACCACGUCUCCCAGCUCCACAUGGAAGAUGUGCCCAGGGGAAGGUAUAAUGGGCAUGAGCAGAUGGUAGACGACGACGUCUUGGUGGGCACUCCAUUCUUCAUAGACUCAGGCCACCGUGAUGGCUGGUUGUAGCCAGGGCAUGAAGCUGUGGCAGGUCCUCAGCAGGCACGAAGAAGGUCAUCCACCGGCUCCUCCACCAUCUCCUCUACCAGCUGGCACUUGUUGGCCAUGUAUGGCGCUGGCCACUGGGUUCUCUCAACCCGAACUUCACCUAGGUCACAUGUCUCAUUCGAGUCACUGUCUUCUUCGACCUCCUCGUUGUCCUCCUCCUUGUUUCUGGAGCUUUUCUGGUUGCUGCUGCUGCAGACCAGGUUGCAUUCCACUUUCUUGAGACAGAUGUAGAGCUUAGGAAAGAUGACAAGGAUGGCAACACAUACCCAAAUCAUGCUGCUGCUCUUUGGCAAAUAUUUUGUUUUCCUGAUGCACCGCAGAAAGCCAAAGAGCAAGAAAAGGACUCCAGCAAAGGCCCAGAGCUUCCAGUGCAGCAGGGCACCAAGGAUCAGGGCUCCCUUGGCCUCCCAGCUCUUUCCCUGCCUCCCCUGCUCCAUGAUGUGAGGUGGCUGAACCAUGUUCAGACUCAGUUGCUCCACAUGCAGCUGAAUGUGCUCAUACAUAUCGCUAUUUAUGAGGUGAAUUUCCAAAUGGAUGAUUCCCAUCAGCGUUAGGAUGAUGAAGACCUGAUUAUGAUGAAGAUGAGGGAAAAUGUGACAUUCAUGAGUAACUAAACAAUCCUGUGAAUCACAGUUGUGUGAGAAGAGGUUGGAUGGCUUCCUCACCUUGAAAGCUUGAUUGCAAUUGAUGUGGUAUGACUGUAUGAAGGGAAGCAGUUCGGAAUAUAUUGGGAAUAAACCAGUGAAGCUCUAUUGGAAGGCUCGGAGUGUAAGACUUCAUCUGCUGUAGCAACUUUCCUGUAUAUUACCCAACAAUUUUGUCCAGGCCAAAGAGCUGCAUAUGUAUUUUAACAAUGAGAAUUGUGUUAGGUUACAUUAUAUUAUCUAGGGACAAUUGUGUAUUUGUAUUAGUGAUCAUUAUUCUCCUUGUAGCAGCUAAACUUUUCAACUCCUAUUUAAGGUCUGCUGGUCAUGGGAAUUAUAUGUACAGAUUGUUAUAGUCUUGUACUUGUCCGUUGGACUUGAUCAUCUUUCGAGGUCCCUUCCAAUCCCUGGCAUUCUGUGAUUCUGUGAUCUUCAAUAAAUCUUUCAAGCAGAAAAAUAUGGUAAGGAGAUAAAUUAGCUAUCAAGGUGUUCCUGGCACAUUGCUGAAGAUUUUCACAUAUCUACAGUUAAAGAAAACAGCCUACUCUGAAGUACCAAUAAAUAAUAAAAGAUCAAGUUGUUAAGGAGCAGCGAUGGAGAAUCAUGGUAGGACAGGAAAAGGAUUAGAAAUGGAGCAUCACUGCAGAAAUUUGCUAUACAUUUGGUCUAAGAAACUAAGCAGUCAUCAAAGGCUGAAGUGGAUUUCAUUCCUGAUUUUCAGAUAGCUACUCUCUUGUAGUCAGUAAAGGAGGUUACAGAUCACAAAAGAAGACAUCUGCUCUCCUAACCUGGACUGUGACUGUGGAGAGAAUGUUUAAUGUAUGUGGUAGGAAGAUAGCAAGCACAAGGCACAACCUACUUGUUUAUCUCCUAGCACCAAGGAAGCAGAAAGCUGAGGACAAACAGUUCCUGGCAGCUAGAAUCUGGAAAGCUAAAAGGGGGAAAUGAACAAGUGUCAGAAACUAGCAGCUUCGUUCCAGGGUAGAUCACAGAAUUGGAAAGAGAAGGAGAAACAGCUUCAGGGUGCUUUCUUGAGGUGAAUAGGCCUAAUCGAACAUCACAAUGAACUUGUCUCCUACUCCAUUUAGACUUUAACUUGAGCCGCAGCAUAUCCAAGUUUCUCUGUUCCUGCACUGUCAUCAGACAUCCGUGAAGUAAAGACUGGUGUGGAGCAUGUCAUCCCUUAGCCAGUGCUGACUUAGUAAAGGGAUUUGUGAUGGUAUUUCUCCAGGUAAUAGAAUAACUGACAUCUAUGCCUAGGAUACAAGGAUUUAAAACUCCUACUUGUAUCAAACGUAAUACAAUACUGAAGUAGGCAGUGGGAAUAGUAGCCUGUACAGAAAGAAGGCUGUAAAAAUGUUUCAAGAAGAAAUGAAUAGUCAAGAGGAAGCAAACAAAAGAAAAUUAUUUGAAAGUCAAAUGUAAUAAGUCACUGAGAUGUAAUUUCUAAUACUGUUGUUAAAAUAUAAUCUUAUAUUGCAUAUUUAUAAGGUGCUUAGUUUACUCUGCUCUUCUCUCUCCUGGAAUGAAUAGAUUAUUUUUUAUUAUUUUAAAGGAAAAUGGUUGACAAAGGAGUGCCCUACUGUAUAUUCAUUUUUCAGGGACUCUUACUAGAGAUCACUAUCUAAUUAAUUUCCUGCUCUGUGAUAGGAUGUUAUUUCUUUUCAGUUGUUAGUAUUCUGUUGUCUAAAUAGACAGUAUUUUUCAGAAGUAUGAUAUUCCUCCAA
ensembl:lncRNA